GCACUGAUGAGAGCUGCCAGAGACACCCAUCUGCAAAUAGGACACCAGGUUCAAUUUUUUUCAGGAUCUGGCCUCCAGCACCCUGCACAAAUGGAAGGCACGUUGGCCCUUAACUCAAGCACUCACACAGAAGAGACUUAGAUAUGCACCCCUUCAAGUUAAUGGUCCGCAGGGAGGAAAGAACCUAUAUCCUGCAUGACCUCUCCGAUGCACAGGACUUUGUGACACAUCUGGGUCUACCACGCAUUAAUAUGGAAACCCGAAUUUGCCCAGAAGGACUUCCUGUAGAGGGUACCAACCUACUGGCCCUGCCACGGAGGCGCAGACCAUCCAGAUGAGAGCUACAAUGCCCCUUAGGACUCUAAUAUAAAUUCUCUACUGGGGCCGUACCGUUGUGAUAACUACAUCAGUAGGGCGAUCCUCCCAAGCUACUACUCCUAAUUGAGCUCCAGCAAACAGAAGGCCUACAAACCCAUGACUCCCGGACACAACUGGCAGCAAAGAGACUGUCCCUGAUCUUCACACGGCUGAUACCAUCCACAACACAGAGAUACGAAUGAGAUUGCAUGUUUAUUUGUCCACAACCUGUCACUUCCC